GCUCUCCGUGGUUUAGUCGGUAAAACAACCAACAAUGGUGUGGUAGGAUUCGGGUUCGAGCCCUGGUGAAGGCA